CCCUCCCCAAGAUGGCGCCAGCGGCCGCGCGCCCUCCCCAAGAUGGCGGCGGGCAGCUCGGCGCGGCGGGCGGCGCGGCCGGGGCGCUGUGUGGGGCCGCCCGGCCGCAGCCGCGCGAAGACCCGCAGCGAGAGGGGCGGCCCCGGGGCGGCGGCGGCGGCGGCGAGCCCGGCUUCCUUGCGCAAAGCAACUGACAGACGGCGCUCGAAGAGGCGAAAGGGCGAGGACGACAGCGGUGCGGUAAACCCAGAGCGAGGAGGGCCGGCGCGGGGGCGCGGGGACCUCACCACGCCGAGGGCAGGGCCUCCGGCCUCCUCUGAGGAUGGGCGCUCGGGAGACCCUGGAGACGGCAGCGCAACUCAUCGGAAAAGAGGUGAAAGCGCUCCCGAGACGAGUGCGGAGGGACGGGGCGAGGGGCACGACGUUUCUCCGAAGCCCUUUGCAGCGGCAUCGAGUAGCGCUCCGUCCAAAAUGGGAGGCGGUGAGGAUCUGCAGAGCCGCGUCCGCCGCGUGGAAGAGGAGAGCAGCGGCGAGAGCGCGCUUUCGGGUGAGCCCGGCCCGGAGGAUGGCGGUCCCCAGAAGAGACCGGCACAGCUCGAUGAUAGCGCUUUCUUAGACGAGGACAGUAACCAGCCAAUGCCAGUGGACCGAUUCUUUGGAAACGUUGAGUUUAUACAGGACCUCCCAGCAGUUGCACUUGCAAGCACAACAAUGAGCAGACGAGAAUUUAGAAAGCUGCAUUUCAUUGCAAAGGAAGAUGACGAGGAGGAAGAGGAUGUCCGCUAACCACAAAAUGUGAAAUACGAUCUUAAUACAAUUCUAGCUGGACUGGCUGAAUUUAUGUGGGUAAGGAGGAGGACCAACUGCAUGAAGGAAGUUUCCUUACAAAUGAGCCAAAAACUGGUUUAGCGAAUCCUAUUCGUUUCACAACUGCACUCUGCCUGAAAAUGGGUCUGAGGGUUUUUUUGCCAGAGACAGGUAAAGAGAGCAAUCUUCCCAAAAGGAUUCCAUGUUACCAGACACUGUUGCAGCAUCCAAGCAUCUUUACGGCAAUGCACAGUUCAUAGUGGAGCUGAGUGUAUGAUGGGGGCAAGGAUGCGGGAAAGACUCGCUGGCAACAGCUUUACUACUUAAGAUAAAGAGCAAGAAACAGCACUGCUGAGGACCAGGUGGACUGUCUGCUUCUGAAAGCAGUAACAGAUAUUGUAGUUGUUAAAUGGUUCUUGUUAACGCACAUACACACAGAAUGUUAAAACAGUAUCGGAUAAAAACCGAAGAGUUCAGGAAGAACUGCAGAGUUCAGAAUGAAGAGUUCAGCGUGACCUGGGAACUGGAAGAUGAACUUACAAAGAAAACCUAAACAGAAGACAGAGAAGGCUGAGCUGGCUGAUGUGUACAAGUUACAUCAUUAGCCGACUGUUAAAAGAUACAAGCGCAGAUCUACUUUGCGUUAAUGGGAAAAGUCUCCCUUAUUUGUAUAUUGUAGAAGUACACUGGGUGAAGCAAUAAAGUUGGUUUUUCACCGUU